rnacentral:lncRNA from 10 species
AAACUGGGGGGUUUCUCUUCAAAGCCAGCUGGUCUGGCUUUAUUCUACAGGAAUUUUUUUACCUGUCAGGGUUUGGACAACAAAGCCCUCAGCAGGUGCUGACGGGUACAACUUCCUGGAGAAGCAGAAAGGCACUGAGAAAACAUCUUGCUCUGUUGCUCAGGCUGGAGCGCAAUGGUGCCAUCGUAGCUUACUGUAACCUUGAACGUCUGUGCUCAAGCAAUCUUCCUGCCUCAGCCUCCUGAGUAGCUGGGACUACAGAGACAGGGUCUUGUUCUAUUGUCCAAGCUGGUCUUGAAUUCCUGACCUCAAGCAAUCCUCCUGCCUCUGCCUCCCAAAGCACUGGGAUUAUUACAGGUAUGAGCCACCGCACUGGGCCGUCAUGCUUACUCUUCGGAGAGAGAAGUGAAGUAUCUGAACGCCUCAGCCUGAGAAUGGGUCAUUUGCAAAGUAAAUAAAGGCAAUGCCAAACGUCAGUACAACAAGCAAU